rnacentral:ncRNA from 1 species
AUCGUCAGCACUUUGGCGAUAUAGGGGAUCAGCGGCAGGUUCAGGAUCAGCAGAACCAGAUUGCCGAUAUACAUCGAAAUGAUCACUGCCCAAAAGAUCUGCGGAUUGUCGAUCAUCAACCGUGGGCC